rnacentral:piRNA from 1 species
UCCACAGGUUGAGAAUUGUUGGCCUAGACU